UUACGACUUUAUGACGUGAGCGGUAUAAUAAAAGAUUGAUCUUAAAGGGACAAUAGAGCGCUUAAAUCAUGUGUAUGAUAAAGCGCUAAACGUAGCCAAUGAAAACGAUUUCUUCACACAAUAAUGAAGACGUGGAAGCGAGGUUCUUUAAUUAGUACGAAUUUUUUAAUUACUUAUGGAUAAGAGUUAUUUAUGACGUCAUAUUAGCGACACUCUGAGAGAGGAUUGAGGAAUGCGAGACUUUUACUAAUAAAAAACAUCGGUUUGUGAAAAACAACAGUGCAUCUUUAGAGUUUUUACACAUAAAUAGUCUGCGAAUGGCGUUGAAAUGGCUUUUAAGCGCUCUAAACAAUGCUAAAACAAUAAAGAUCCAUAUUUUCGCUAGUAGAGUUGGUUCAUGUGUCUCUCUUAUGACAUACUAAUACUAAUUCAUUGAAGAUACCUUAUUGGUUAUUGGUUAUGUUAACACCGGCCACAUUUUUAAUAAACCUGCAUAAAAGAGGCGAGAAAAUAGUUGGUGAUUUAUAAGCGCGGAAAUGGCUAUUAACUUAUAUACUUCCAUAAUAAAAUAACUGCGUAGUCUACGUGUAAUAAGCUUUGAACUAGCUGUCGAAACCCUUAAGCACCUCCGAAGAUUUGCAGUAGAGUGAUUUUUCAUAUUUUGGGCAUAUUUUUCUAAACUCCCGCGCAAGUCGUAGGUGUAUUUAGUCAUAAAAGCUACAAAAUAGCUGCCGAGAAAAUCGUAAGUUCUACAACGCGGCGAACAAUAAUUCACAUAUGUCAAAGUGGGCCGAUAAACACAGUAAUAAUAGAAAUUUUCUUUCAUUUUCUUCCCCUUCUCCUUCUUACUCUACUGUUGAUAUCAAAUGAAAACGACGCCAUUGUUUACUUUCGUUUGGCGCUAAAAAAUAUUGCUUUUUUAAUACCACACUGAUGAGUUAUGAUUUAUGUUUUUAUUAUAUAGACAAUCUAUCAAAUCGAUAUAAAUAAAUUAACCGGUUUAUUGCAUAAUAAUGCUAAGCAGUUGAAGCGACUUACAAGCUAGCGUGGAGUACGAGCGCUCAAGCCGGUGGAAAGCGAACGCGGCAAGUUAGAAUAUGAAAACCAGCAAAUAAAUGAACAACAACUAUGGGAGAAAAAUAGUCACAUACACACAAACAUAUGCUUGGAUUUGUGUGUGUGUCCGCCAGCAGUUAAAUUGAAAACUUGAAACUUAUGCGCAACCGCAGCGGUGAGGUCAUACACUAUGUAUGUUACAUAAGCUUGCACAUACCGAGUAGUACAUACUGUACUAUGCAUUAAAAAUCCGUUUGAAGCUGGAUUUAUGGUUUAUAUGCGUACAUUGUUGCUUAAUUACAAUGUUUAUGAAGUGUUAUUGCUUGAGUAAUAGUUGGCAAUUUUUUCCGCUCUGAAGGUUGUUUGCAAACAAUGAGCGCUGCCUUUUUGACACGACGAAAAAUUUGUUAGCUGCCAAUUUUUUUUUAUAAAAAACUUCACGAAUUCACCAGUAGUAUUUUCGCAACAGCUAACCUUAAACUUGCGUAAACAAUGUACUCAUUUGGAAAGGAUUGUCGAAUUAAAUGGAUUAGUUGGGGCAGCGUGGAACACCGCCAUAAUAAUUUAUCAUAUUUCGGCAUUUUUGGCAAGGGUUAUUUUCAAACAAGGUUAGCACAGAAAUAAGGCGUCACCUGUUUGAAAAUAAUUAUUUAAGUUCGCAGCGGUAAAUUACAUCAUAAUAAAAGAGUUGCUACUGAAAGCGAAGUAUGUGCACCUGUGAAAAAGCCACAAGAUUAAGAAUGUAUGUUGUUAAUGCAAUGGUAUUGAGUAUUUUAGAGAUUAUUAGCUGCAUUUCAUAGUUCUUGACAAAUAGUCCAUCCAAAUUUUAUUGCCGAAAGUAUGAACACCUACUAACGAUUAACUAAUAAGUCAGUACACGUCUUACUUUCUCCUUAUAGGUAUAAACAACAAAUUCUUGAACACUUUUGGGUUAUUCACACUCCAGACCAGGAUCGCAUGGCGUCAGUCGUCUCGGGUUUAUCUGAGUAGACAAGCUACUUCACAUAACCCCACAAAAAAUAGUCCAACGGUGGUAAAUCGCACUAUCUUGGAGAGCACGCCACAUGCCCAGGACGCGAGAAACAGUGACUUUUUGAGGAUGUAACGGUCUCAUCGCUGAACAAAUUUUUUUUUGUGAAAAUCGGGAUUGGUGACCUUAUAUUAUGGGCCCAUUCAUCGAACGUGCGACGCGCUUGAUGCAGCAGAUUAAAAUAAAAAUACUGAAAUCAAUUUAGUAUGGUACCUGUUUGGGCUGCAGAUACAGUGGCAGUACUUUAGUACCUACGAUUAGAAAGUACAAGCAAAGGCUUAUCAGAAGAGUCAAUUCAAAAAGUCUUCUCACACUUUCAACCUAACCUCCUAACCUCUUACUCUUGGUAAUAAUAAACAUUGAGAUAGAAGGAUUCGUGGUGAUCAAAACUAAAGCACAUUAAAUGACUCUGAGUCCACAAAUGCUAAGGAAAUAACGAAUUGCUAUGGCACUCCAUACUAAACAACGCAAUUUAACUGUUGAUUUAAAAGUCAGGCCACUUAUUGGUCACUUUAUAUAACCAAUAAAUAUCAACUCAUGUGACAAAUAGCUCAUAAGAGACCAGAACAUAAAUACACAUAUGCAAUACAGUUAAUGACUUGAAAAAAAAUUUAAAUAUUUGCUCGCAAUUACAGCUCACUUGAGACAAGUUUGCGUUUAAGAGUGCUACUGCCAAAGCCGCAUAUCCAGUCAGAGAGUUAUAACCACAAAUAUGACAAUGACUUAAUUGUCUAUUGAAACGAUUGCAGCUGCUAUUACUUUUUAAUUUGUUUCAGACAGAAAAAAGUGAGUAAUUAUGUUCGCAAUUCAGUAGCUGUAGAAUUGUGUAAAGUACUUCAGCUGAAACAGAUUACUGAUGGUCGCCGCAAGUGUCUUCGUUUGGAGCUGGAUCAACACAAACAGCCAUUACAUUUAAAAUUAUUAAUUAUUUUGUUUUAAAUAUGAAGUCAAGUCGAAACCUUAUUUAAUCAUGCUAUGUUUUUACUAUUAUAAAAUAAAAUAACUUACUGAUAAAAAAUAUUUAAAAUUGCAAUUUUCAUGCCUCUGACU